rnacentral:rRNA from 1 species
CUCGUAGGUGGUUUGUCGCGUUGUUCGUGAAAACCGGGGCUUAACCCUCGGCGUGCGGGCGAUACGGGCAGACUGGAGUACUGCAGGGGAGACUGGAAUUCCUGGUGUAGCGGUGGAAUGCGCAGAUAUCAGGAGGAACACCGGUGGCGAAGGCGGGUCUCUGGGCAGUAACUGACGCUGAGGAGCGAAAGCGUGGGGAGCGAACA